rnacentral:lncRNA from 1 species
UAAGCCUGUAGGGACAUAGGGGUAAAAAUUCAGACUGAACUUAGGAGGCAUUUACCCUAAACUGACCAAACAGCCCUCUUCCUGCUCACUCUCCCAUCCCUCCAAAAUAAUGGAGUAAGCCUUUAAAUAUGCUGUCUCAUUUGACAUCACAAAUAACUUGUGAAAUAGGCACUAUAUUAUAGAUUAGGAAACUGAGGCCCAGGGAGUGAGCUAAAGUAAUUUCCCCAAAGUCCCAGAGCUAGCAAAUGGCAGAACUAGAAAUGAAACUCAGUUUUAUCAGACUCUAGUCCCUAUUAUCCUUUAUUCACCUUUCUUCACUAUACUAUCCUGUCUCUCCAAAAUGAGCCCAAAUCACCUAAUUCAUGAAAUUUAAGGAGUUCUCAUCACAUGACCAUCUUAGAAAACAACAUUUUGGAACUGAAAAUGCCCAUGAAUGUAAAGAUCAUGUAGUACAAUUCCAGCAUUUUAAACAUGGGAAACUGCAUCCCACCACGGGGCACUGAGAAGGAUGUGUGACUUUGCAGCCUGACACCUAUAAAAGGCUGUUGACUUUUAUGGCUCUGGAAAUUCUAGCCAUAAAUUCAGUGCUCCUGCGUUCUUAUCUUGGCGCUGACAGUGGUUUGCUAUGUGGUUUUAGAUGUGUCCCUAACACCCUCUGGGUCUCAAUCUUUCUAUCUGUAAUGUAUACAGCAUAAUAAAAUAUGUGGAUAUAAUGAAAAAUCUGCAUUUAUCAUCUUUAGUCAACAGGCUAAGAUUAGUGAAAUCCAUAUCAAUUAAUGGAAUUUGUUCUUACCUUUGGACCAGUCAUCAGGAAAUUGUUCACCGACCUAUAAGGGAAAAAAAAAACAAAAACAGAAUAUAAUGCAGAGACACCAACUUGUUUCUGCUUCCAAGAGUGACAGGAAAUCUGAGACUCCAGAAAAGUUAAACGUGUGUUCAGGCUCACCCAGCUAAUAAGUGAGUGAAGCAGGAUUUGAAUCCACAUUCAUCUGACUCCGUGGGACGUUAGAAGGAUACUUCUCUAAUUAGGAAGAGAAACAGAGACUGAAACAUAGAGUGGCCACCCAGCCUCACACAGCUAGACACUUGAAUUUGGACAGACAAGCAACCCAGCCACCUUUCAGUGUGGCUGUGUCAGUAUCGGAAUGAAAUGAACAUGACCCCCUCCAGCAGGGAAGGGAACACACAGUAAAGAUGGUCAAAAUGAGAGCUGAUGAAGAGAGAGACUGAGCUCAUAUCUGAACUGGAGAGAAACUCCGAACACCCUAGCAACCUGCAUUCUGUAUGUUAUUGUGUACUGGUGUAUUUGCUAAUGAACAGUUGCAUGUAUAGAUAGUUUAUGUGGUUUCCAAGAGCUAAAUGAGAAUGGUGAUGAUAUUCUUUAGCAUUUGUGUUUAUAAUUUACAAAGCACUUUCAUAUACGUUAUCUGAUUUUCUGAACAAUUUAGAAAUAUUUGUAAAUUGAACAAAUUAAAUAAAUUUCUCGAGACGUUUAGA